rnacentral:rRNA from 1 species
AGAUUAAGCCAUGCAUGUCUAAGUAUAAGCAAUUAACAGCGAAACUGCGAAUGGCUCAUUAUAUAAGUUAUCGUUUAUUUGAUAGUACCUUACUACUUGGAUAACCGUGGUAAUUCUAGAGCUAAUACAUGCUGAAAAUCCCGACUCCGGAAGGGAUGUAUUUAUUAGAUUAAAAACCAAUGCCCUCUGGGCCAUCUGGUGAUUCAUGAUAACUCCUCGAAUCGCACGGCCUCGCGCCGGCGAUGGUUCAUUCAAAUUUCUUCCCUAUCAACUUUCGAUGUUUGGGUAGUGGCCAAACAUGGUUGCAACGGGUAACGGAGGGUUAGGGCUCGACCCCGGAGAAGGAGCCUGAGAAACGGCUACUACAUCCAAGGAAGGCAGCAGGCGCGCAAAUUACCCAAUCCCGAUUCGGGGAGGUAGUGACAAUAAAUACUGAUACAGGGCUCUUUUGGGUCUUGUAAUUGGAAUGAGUACAAUUUAAAUCCCUUAACGAGGAACAAUUGGAGGGCAAGUC